AAGUCGUAACAAGGUAACCGUAGGUGAACCUGCGGUUGGAUCAUUAUUGAUUUUUAGUCUUCACAGGUUUGAUGCUCUUUGAGCUCACCUGUCUAGGCUUUUAACACUUUGUGCACCUAUAUUGUUUUUUGGGCUUUGGGGCCGUGGCACCAGAGUCCAGCAUUUAAAAACCUUGUAUAAUUCAGCUGAUUUUUUUACCAUAAAGUAAAAUUAACAACUUUUGACAACGGAUCUCUUGGCUCUC
rnacentral:misc_RNA from 1 species